GUUGACCUCGGAUCAGGUAGGAAUACCCGCUGAACUUAAGCAUAUCAAUAAGCGGAGGAAAAGAAACCAACAGGGAUUGCCUCAGUAACGGCGAGUGAAGCGGCAACAGCUCAAAUUUGAAAUCUGGCCCUAGGCCCGAGUUGUAAUUUGCAGAGGAUGCUUUUGGUGCGGUGCCUUCCAAGUUCCCUAGAACGGGACGCCAGAGAGGGUGAGAGCCCCGUACAGUUGGACACCAAGCCUUUGUAAAGCUCCUUCGACGAGUCGAGUAGUUUGGGAAUGCUGCUCAAAAUGGGAGGUAUAUUUCUUCUAAAGCUAAAUACCGGCCAGAGACCGAUAGCGCACAAGUAGAGUGAUCGAAAGAUGAAAAGCACUUUGAAAAGAGGGUUAAACAGCACGUGAAAUUGUUAAAAGGGAAGCGCUUGUGACCAGACUUGCGUCCGGUGAAUCACCCAGCUCUCGCGGCUGGGGCACUUCGCCGGCUCAGGCCAGCAUCAGCUCGCUGUCGGGGACAAAAGCUUCGGGAACGUAGCUCUCUUCGGGGAGUGUUAUAGCCUGUUGCACAAUACCCUUCGGCGGGCUGAGGUACGCGCUCCGCAAG
rnacentral:rRNA from 1 species